GGCUUAUUUGGUUUGAUACCAAUUUACUACCCUACCAAAAUUUUGGCAACUUCAAUAGUAGCAAGUGGAUGUUUGGUUUGCUACCAAAUUUUACCCACCAUAGUUCAAAUUGAAUACUACCAAAUUUGGUAGUGCCAAAAUUUGCCAAUGUUUUGGUACUAUCAAGAUUUUGGUAGGGCAAAAAUUGGCUCCAAACCAAACAAGCCCUAU
rnacentral:misc_RNA from 1 species